GUGCACAGUGAACACCCAAGUGGGCUUCGUAGCUCUUUUGGCAUAACUCUGUGCUAGAAUAAUGUGUACUUUACCCUCUACGUAGAAAGGAACCUCUUUCCUACGUAUUCAAAAGGACAGUACAGAU